UUUUGACUAUUCAUCUUAUCUGAAAUUUCUUUGCGAUAAUUUUUUUCUUACUAGAUGAUAAAACAUGAAUAUUACUUUAUGCGUGACUAAUUUUUUUUUAUUUUUAUAUAAAUUUUUUAAAUAAGAUGAAUGGUCAACUAGACACGGAAAAAC
rnacentral:pre_miRNA from 1 species